GUAAGUCGUAUUGUAGCUACGUAUCAAUUCGUAUAUAUAAUUCAAUGUUACUUAUUUAAUAAAAAUAUCGAUGAGUUCAUGAUAGUUUGAACCGAUACAGCCACUACAAAGUCUCUAGAGAUAUUUCAAGAUUUCUCUCUUCAGUCAUGGAUUAAAGAACAGAAAUUCACUACAUAAUUGCCACAAUAGUCGGAGCUUUUCCGAGUCUUGCUGUGCUAUACUCUCCUGUUUGAACAGAUAUUUGACCAUAAAAAAAUAAAACUGCUUCUUGUAAUUUCCUGCAACAGUCAGAUAUCUCUACUAGAGGAAUCUACUGCUGUGAAUACUUGUAAAGAGGUCUCACACUCAAGAAAGGUUUUAUAGUUCUGCAAGAGAUUUUGAAUCUUUUGGCCAAGCUUAAAAAGACGGCAAAAAGCUGAAAAGAGAAGCGAAGUUGCUACAGGAAAAGGUGGAGAUGAAUGUGAUGUCUAAGAAAGCUCCCAAGUUGCAGCUGCAAUUGGCGAUAUUAAUGCUGCAGAACAUGAAUUUGUUUUGUGUCUGUCAAGCAUUAAUGGUUUGAUGCAGUUAAAAGUGAUGCAUUCCUAGUGUAAAAAUUAAGUACUAACAAGCAGAGACUAAUUCCAUUAGCCAUCAAGUCAGUAAAGUGCUAGCUGGUGCUGCUGAUUGGAACUUGCAUCGUUCUAGAAAAAUCGAAAAAGGAUACUAGACUUGCAAAUCCGAAUAAGAAGAAGAAAAUGUAUA